CUUGCACUUGCGAGGCAGGCAUGGCACCACUGAGCUAAAUCCCCAGCCCUGUGUCAUUCAUGAUCCAAAAUAACUGAGUACCUUAAUCAUAUAUGAGAACCAUCUAUGUGCUUUUAAAAAAAUUUGUUUAAAACACAUUUGCUAUGUCUGCCUUCUUGGAAAACUGGCUUUAAUCAUACAAUUCCAAAUAAAAGAUAUUUGGCAUUAAAAAAUAGCAUUUGGAGAAAAGUAAAUGAUUCAGUUUCUAGUAAUCACGUAUAAAAGCUCCAAUGUAAGGGAUGUGCCCAGCCCCGGUCUCGUCCCAUGUAUCACUGAAGGCGAUACUUACUGAUGCAACCUCUUUGGGAAACGGUAUUGCAGUAUAUGUUAGGAUGGCUUAUAUGAAAUUACCUGUAUUUGAUUUGUCUAGAACAACAGAACCGGCAACAUCAUGUCAUUUAACUUGAAUAUAUCAAAAACCUCAAAGACUGUCAACACCCGUACUGUCAGGAAUUGCACUGCUGGGCCUAAGAUGUAAAUUCUUUUUCUCUUUCUGCCUCUCCCCUCAUCUUCUCUGUCACACGUGUGUACACGCACGUUUUUAAGUGAAAUCUGUGGGGAUAUACUUGUAUGUGUGUGUGUGUGUACUGCCUGAGGUAGCCCGUCUCUAAGAUUUUAGAUCUUGUAUCCUAGUAUUUGUACCCUCGUGUGGUCCCCCUCCCACAGCAUGCCUGGGUCCAGCAGAGGUCACUACUGAGAGGAAAGGGAACAGGCACAAGUGUUCUCUCACUCUCUCCCCACUCCCUUUUCUGGUCACUUGCUGUAGGGGACACCAAUUGCCAUGUCUUGAGGACACUUAGGGAGCACUGAAGCCCCAAAAGCCAGCUAGAAACAGGCUUUCUGGCACCCACGGGGGAGAGUUUGGAAGCAGACCCUCCCCCCAGUCAGGCCUUCAGGUGACUGCAAGCCCAGCGGAGCGCCUGAUGGCACCUUCGCAAGAGACUCUGAGGCCCAGCCACCCAGCCAAGCUGUUGUUGGAUUCCUGACCAACAGAAACUGAGGUAAUAAGUGCUGAUGUUUUCAAGUGCUGAGAUUUGGGUCAUUAGAUACAUAACAAUAGCUAAAUAUGUAAUCUGAAUGCAAAAGAGAUUCAUUAUACAUUAAAAUGGUAAACAACCAAACCAAAAGCUAAGUAAAUACCCUAAUGUGGGAGACUGACGAAGCUGACCAGCUGACUGGCAAAUUUACUUGCAGGAUACUAGGCAGUGUUAAAAUGUUCAGUUAGCUCUAUCCUUAUCCACCCGGGAAAUAGGAAGCCCAUGAGAGAGGGUGCAAGGAAUCGGGGAGGCACAGUAAGAGCUGACCAGUGACCACUUUUAUAAAACGUGAUGCAAACUUUUAAACCUCCCAGUGUUUUAUUUUGUUCAAUUUUUCUAUUUUUCUCUUUCCUUUGUCUGCUCUUAAGGGGAAUUUCGUUCGAGUACCUGUAGCCUUAUACUGUUCAGCUUUCUCCAUCUGACUGAGUUUCCUGAAGACAGGGUCUUCUUACCUAGCUCUUUGAAACAAAGAAUGAAUACUAGUAGAGUCUGAAUAGUAAAAUACAUAUUUCUCCUGUUAUAGCUUGUUAAAAUAGAAUGUAAAAUUAUAGGCAGAGUGGAACUAAAACUAUGGUUACAAUGCUAGAGAAAGCAGAUAAAAGACCUAGAUACAGGAAGCAUAUUUUAUAAAGCCCUGAUUUCAGUUCAUUUAUUCUGUUCUUUUUAAGGGCACUCCAGACCUUCUGUGAUUUUGCUUUAUUCAAAUGUGGUGGUGGUGGAGUUGGAGACAAAAAAUACUGUAAAUUCUCUCCUUUUAUUUUUCAAAGCCAUACCUAAGUCUUUAUCACUUCCAACUUUCUCUGGUCUCUCCUUGACUUUUCCUUACCAUGCUUUGAAGCUGCCUUUAAAAAAAAAAAUACUUUAGUCCUGUAAGUGCACCGUCCACCCAUCUGAUUAUAAUUUCUAACUGAACUCCCAUUAACUUCACAUCAAUGACCUAUUUGGCUCACUUGGCUUUUUAAAAGGAGCCAGAACUAUUUAAUCUUCAAAGCAAAUGUAAGUAUGUUAACUCUUAAGCUCUCAAACACUCGAUCCAUGUGUUAAGGCUAAACCAGUGGCUCUGAAGACAGGGUGGAGGAAAGCAAGGUGAAAAUGAUGAGUGUAGGAAAAGUGACAUUUGUGAGUGUGAGAGAAAUGUCACACGAGACCUUCUCAUAAUAUACAAAUUCCCUCUGCAUGCUUUUCUUACUUCUACCUGCAAAUUGGAAAUGUCAAUCACUCAGCUCAAGUUAACAGUUCGUGUGAGUCAUUGUUACGUAUGGAUGUUGCCUCAGACGUGAGGUGAGGAGCAAGCGUUCCAUGGUCGUCUCCAUGGUGACGGCCAAUGCUGCCUGUCGCAGGUCAUUCACCCCCGGUUAUCCUCCCCCACUGUACCAGUAAACCAUAGCAGAAGUGGUGGCCUGCCACUGCCGAGGUCAGACCGAAACUCUCUUAGCUGUUGUCUUGGGUCCGCUCUUUUGGGUCCCUCACUUUGCGGAAAGCCUCCUCAGAAUGGCCCAUGGAGAAACUGCAUGGCGUGGAACCGAUUCCUCCUGACACCCCUGAGCGUGCUCGGAAGUGGAUCCUCAGAGGGCACCAGACACCUCGAUUGUAGCUGAGAGGUCCCGAGCCUGAACCACCCAGCUAGGACACAGCAACUAUGGAACAGUAAAUGUUGAUGGUUUUAAACUUCUAAGUUGGGUAUGACUCAUUACACAGCAGGAGAUUCCUAUACCAGGUAUGAAUAACAAGUUAGGCUAAAAAAACUAAACAAAAUUUCUUUUGCUUUGGACAUGCCGUUACGGAAAUCAUACUAGAGUAUAGUGAACAAAUAGUCAGCUUUGGCAACUGCAGCACCAUAGUUUGUUAUUGUACUUUUACCUAAUCACGAAUUUAGUUGAAUGGGGUUACUUGUUAAGAUUAAUAUCAUAAAUGGUAGCCCAGUUUUACAUUUUUAACCCACUAUUUUCAAAAGGGUCUGAAGUGAUACAGUUAUGUUUUUAUGGCUGUUUGCCCAAACCAGCCAGGCUGAGCACAGUGGCCCAUACCUGUAAUUUCAGCAUUCUAGAAGGCUGAGGCAAGAGGAUUGCUAGUUUGAGCCCUGCCUAGGUGAUUUAGUGGGAUCUUGUUUUAGAAGGGGCUGGGGAUGCAAGUUGGUAAGAAGGCCCCGGGAUCCAUCCCUAUUAUGGGGUAGGGAUCUAGCACCAAAGGUAGAGAGAUAGCUCAGUGGUACAGUGCUUGACUAAAAGAUGGGACUGGUCUUAUCUUCAGGUGUGAAAAACGGCACCUUUACACUGAUAAAUAGGCCGCCUAAGUGCAAAGAAGUGAUCAAUUUGGACUUUCUUGUAUUUUUGAAUGAAAUAGAUAAAAACAAUUUUAUAGGGCUUAGAAGAUAGUUAAAAGCAAUGCUGGAAAAUUAAAAAGCAGUAAAUUAGAGUUCCAGAGCUUUUUAUUUCUAAUGUUCAAGUUGAGUGCUAGAUACAUUUUUUCCUUUUUCUCUCAUUGGCAGCCUCUUCAUUUUGACUUGUCAUGAGUUCUCAGAAUCAUUCAAUUUUGCUCCAGUUUUUCUCCCCUACACUGCCAUCAUGAGCGAGAAAAUUGAGGGUUGGGGAGAGAAACACUUUGCCUGCUGGGCUGUUGGUCUUCAGGCGAAUGCAGCAUCAAAGGAGAGAUUGCUUCUGACAAUCUGACAAGCCCGUUACACUGCCAGCACCAGGUCCUUUCAGCUCUCUGUCAGAUUGCAAAACACAGUGGAUCUGGCAGAAAUGGUUGUUGAAGCGGAGAUUUUUCCAAUUGUACUUUCCUGUCUGAAGAACAAAGAUGAACACGUGAAGAAAGAUGCUUGCCCUUUAAAGAGAUUGCAAAACAUAUACCUGAGGUCUUAAAUAAAAUAUGGCCACAUAGAAGAGCAUCUUAUGCUUGCUGUGCCCAUUAUUUAGCUCUUGUUCUUGGCCUCUUAGCUUUCGCAGCUGAUCGUUAGCACGGGAGGGGAGGCCACAGGGGCUGACUGCAGAGGGAGCAUCCAGCUGCCUGGCAUCGUGACGCCUGCGGUCCCGGCUCUCAUCCCCGGACCGGCAACGGUGGUGAUCAUUUCCGAGUUGCGUUCUUGCUUCAUCUCUCCUAAUUACUGCAGUAAGACAGAACCACGGGUUGAUGAUAUUCCCCACGAAUUACAAACAUAACCGGCUGCGGCAAAGGACUUUCAGUUGUUUUAAUGCUUAUUCUAUUGCUAUUAGUAAAGUCUCUCAAAUCAAUCAUUGAAGAAAGGUUUCAGUUAUGGGAAAUUUAAAGUUUCACUCAGUGUUUCUUAUGAACAAAAUACCUGUUUUGAGCAUUGCUAUCAUCUAAACUUAAAUAUUAAGUAUGCUCGUAUCUUGAAGAAUUAGUCGUACACAUUUCUAGACAUGUAAAGCAGAGUUUGGUUUAAAACAAGUAUUUAAAUGACACGCCCAGGAGUCAUCUUCACCAUGCCGAGAUCCGCUUUCUUUCAGUCAGGUGUCACAGACUAAUUUCUCUUUUUAGACCUAGACAGUCAGAACACACAUCGGAAACAGAAUUUUUGUUUCCCGCAGUUUGUCUUACCGCAAUGCACAGCUUCAUAGGAACGUGCACCGUGUAACGAAGCGGUCACACCAGUCUCCCGAAGAGCGUGUCUAAGGCCCCGUGUGCUCCUAGUACGGUGCGGGACCCUCUCAGGUGUGGCUUAUCAGCGUGGAAAACCUGCUGCUGUAUGUGAAACAGAAAUGUGGGUGUUUCUUUUUUAUCCCUUGUUAAUCGUCAGCAGAAAAAGCCUCAGAUCUUCAUUUUUCUACCGACUCCAGGGUGAUUCUUUGCUUCAGUCCCUUUUAUCCUGCUCUAGAUUUACGGCGCUUGCUCCUUUACGCUGUUCCUUUUCUUUUGCUCUUCUGUUCCUGCCGGCUGUGACAGUGACUAGAACAGCAGUGGUGCUUUUGGAAGGGUCACUGCACGGGAGUUUUGAUCCUAAUUUUCUUGUGGAGAGUUGGAAAGGUACUCCACAGCGAGAGUGGCGAGAGGAGCAGCAGUCGCUGGUGCUUCCCACGUCCUGCUCCCCUAACCAGGAGGCCUCUUCUCCUUUGGUCUGGGCUUGCUGCUGGCUGCUCCCACCCGGCUUGUUUUUCAGUUAGUUGGAGAUCAGAGUGGCAGCGGCAGUGCGGCAGUCGCAGCAGUAGGAUAGGUAGGUGACGUUCUCCCUUUUGCUGUGUAGUGCUCUGGGGACUAAUACCGUGCACUUAAGUGACACUUCGAAGCACAUUCACGUUGCUUAUUCUGUUUGCUAAUUGUAACAAACUGAAGCCAGGCUGAACUUUGGGAUCAGGGUGGAGGAGUUGGCUUGCUUUACCUACUGCUUCUUCUGUCUUAUUAUGUCCUAGAAGUUUGAGCUUUCUAGAAAGUUAAUUCAUUCUGCACACAAGCCUUUUUUUUUUUUGGUACCAGGGAUGGAACUCCGGCCCUUGUGCUUGUGAGGCAGUCAGAGGAACCACUGAGCUAAAUCCCUGGCCCAAGCCUGACCUUUGUAUGGCAGAUAAUACAUUUUAGUUUGGUAAGAAAGGAGCCAUGAAGAAAUUAUGGCAGGUUUCUUCAGGAUUAAAUUAAAAGGCGAGGGCCAGGGAUUUAGCUCAGCGGUUCUGCCGCCUGCCUUGCAAGCGCAAGGACCCCAGUUCGAUCCCCGGUACCAAAAAAAUAAAUAAAAAUAAAUAAAUUAAAAGGUGGAGGUGAAAAGUAUAUGAUUUGGUCCUCUGUUAUGGUAGCAAGACCCUGUGAUACUGGUUUUUGUGGUGCAAGUUUGAGUUAAUAAAGCCUCAAAUUAGUUGGAAAAUUAUGGCUAUACAGAAUCUGGAAUUAGAGUUUGAUUUGGGUUGAUUCUUCCUUGGGUAUAUAAACUGUGAUGUAUUUACGGACCUUUUGAUUAUAUUUUUAUUGUUUAGUAAGCAUUUCUACUUUGACGUUUGAUCAUAUUAAAAUGAGAACUAUAACUUAAAA